rnacentral:lncRNA from 1 species
UGUGGUGGUGGAUCGGGACGGCGCGACGACAUGAACAAGGGCGGGGAACGACGACAGUUUCUUCCGGCGACAGUGAGUUCUUUCCGACAAGAUUUUUGUCUCGAUCUUCACCUAAUACUCACGCACACAACUGCUCUCUCUUUCUUCCUCAUUACUUGUUCUGCCAAACCCUAACAUACAAACAAAUAAGAUCACUGCUUUCCUUUCAUCUCCAUCUUUCCAUCACAAACACCAUACAUCCACACUCUCUUUCUCUCUCAUGCGAGUCCGGCGAUCGGACUUACCGACGGAGCCGGUGACUUGGCAGCGGAGCACGGCGGUUCUAGCGGUGGAGAUAAGCGGAACUGAAGGUGGUUGGCGCCGUUUUCCAGCCACCAACACCCGAUUGCCCCUUGCAUCCUCCCAUUACUCUCUCUCUUGCUGGUAAACACACGCGGUUGGAGCAUGGCUGAGGUGGUGGAUCGGGACGGCGCGACGACAUGAACAAGGGCGGGGAACGACGACAGUUUCUUCCGGCGACAGUGAGUUCUUUCCGACAAGAUUUUUGUCUCGGCUGAUUACGGGAUAGUAUUGAUGAUGAUGACUACCGGUGACAGAGACGGUGAUGCCGGAAGUGGUGGUGUUUAUGUUCAGUUCGUUUCGAGUUCGGUUCAAGUCUCGAUCAAACCAGAUCAACACUAGUCAAAGGGCCACUCGGUCAGAAUUAUGUUUGGGUUUUUUUUUUUUUUGGUUCGGGCUUGUUUUGGUGUGGUUCAGCUCGGUUUGACUCG